CUCUAGCAGGGAGGGAGAGAGACGUGCCUCUAGCAGGGAGGGAGAGAGACGUGCCUCUAGCAGGGAGGGAGAGAGAGAGACGUGCCUCUAGCAGGGAGAGAGAGAGACGUGCCUCUAGCAGGGAGGGAGAGAGACGUGCCUCUAGCAGGGAGAGAGAGACGUGCCUCUAGCAGGGAGAGAGAGAGACGUGCCUCUAGCAGGGAGGGGAGAGAGAGACGUGCCAAUAGCAGGGGGAGAGAGAGACGUGCCUCUAGCAGGGAGGGAGGGAGAGAGGUGCCUCUAGCAGGGAGAGAGAGAGACGUGCCUCUAGCAGGGAGAGAGAGAGACGUGCCUCUAGCAGGGAGAGAGAGAGACGUGCCUCUAGCAGGGAGGAGAGAGACGUGCCUCUAGCAAGGAGGGAGAGAGACGUGCCUCUAGCAGGGAGGGAGGGAGAGAGACGUGCCUCUAGCAGGGAGGGAGGGAGAGAGACGUGCCUCUAGCAGGGAGGGAGGGAGAGACGUGCCUCUAGCAGGGAGGGAGAGAGACGUGCCUCUAGCAGGGAGGGAGAGAGACGUGCCUCUAGCAGGGAGGGAGAGAGACGUGCCUCUAGCAGGGAGAGAGAGACACGUGCCUCUAGCAGGGAGGGAGAGAGACGUGCCUCUAGCAGGGAGGGAGAGAGACGUGCCUCUAGCAGGGAGAGAGAGAGAGAGACGUGCCUCUAGCAGGGAGGGAGAGAAACGUGCCUCUAGCAGGGAGGGAGAGAAACGUGCCUCUAGCAGGGAGGGAGAGAAACGUGCCUCUAGCAGGGAGG
ensembl:lncRNA